UUGCUCACUUUGGCAGCACAUAUACUAACAUUGGAAUGAUACAGAGAAGAUUAGCAUGACCCCUGCGCAACGAUGACAUGGGAAUUUGUGAAGCGUUUCAUAUUUUU
ensembl:snRNA U6 U6 spliceosomal RNA